rnacentral:rRNA from 1 species
GACGUAGGGCGCAAGCGUUGUCCGGAUUUAUUGGGCGUAAAGAGCUCGUAGGCGGCUCGUUGCGUCGGCUGUGAAAACCCGCAGCUCAACUGUGGGCUUGCAGCCGAUACGGGCGGGCUGGAGUUCGGUAGGGGAGACUGGAAUUCCUGGUGUAGCGGUGAAAUGCGCAGAUAUCAGGAGGAACACCGGUGGCGAAGGCGGGUCUCUGGGCCGAUACUGACACUGAGGCACGAAGGCCAGGGGAGCAAACGGG